rnacentral:tRNA from 1 species
AUCAAGAUAGCUUAUAUUUAGGAGUAUGGCACUGAAGAUGCUAUGGAAGUAUUUUUUACUUUUUGAUA